GUAAUUUCUAGAGGCGAGUUCGGUGGCAGCCCUGGUUCAAGUCCGCUGGAACGCGGCGUCAUGGAGGGUGAGAAUCCCGUGAAUGAUCAGGUGUCUGUUGCUAUGUGAACCGUUUUCGAAGAGUCGAGUUGUUUGGGAAUGCAGCUCUAAAUGGGAGGUAAAUUUCUUCUAAAGCUAAAUAUUGGCCAGAGACCGAUAGCGAACAAGUAGAGUGAUCGAAAGAUGAAAAGAACUUUGAAAAGAGAGUUAAACAGUACGUGAAAUUGUUGAAAGGGAAGCGCUUGAGAUCAGACUUCCUGCGCAGACUAUCCUUGCUUCUGCUUGGGUCAAUAGUCUGUGCGUGGAGGCCAGCAUCAGUUUUGACGGUCGGAUAAAGGUUUGGGGAAGGUGGCUCACCUCGGUGAGUGUUAUAGCCCCAGAUGCAAUACGGCCAGUUGGGACUGAGGACCGCGGCUUUGCCUAGGAUGCUGGCGUAAUGGUCUUAAGCGACCCGUCUUGA
rnacentral:rRNA from 1 species